CGUUUCCCGGGCCCCCACCCGGCCCGACUCCCGCCUCCGAGUUCUAAAUACGGACGGAGGGGCGCCCGCUCGGUUCCCUGCCGGUCAGCCCCAGAGUCCAGAACAGAGGGCGGCCUUGGGAGGGGUCCCCUUUCAGCCCGUGGACUGGGGUGAGGGAAAGAGUUCUCUCGGGGGGGCCCCGGUGCACGGCUUGCAGGUGCUACGGAGUCGGCAGCAUUGGGGAAACCUGGGGUCGCUUUUGUCGUGGACAGAAGGGGACGAGGUGUCUCACCUGAAACGGCAACCUGAGCAGGUGGAAUCCAUGGAAGGUUAUGAAGGGACUGGGGAUGGGAGAACCGUGUCCAGAGUUAGAAGUUAAAAAUUGGGAGAACGGGAUGCGAAUGGAGGCAGGGAGACUGCUGAGGAGACCACCGCGAUAGACCUCAGGAGAAUUAUGGCAGGGGCUGGGCCAGGAAGGUAGCACGACAUUGGGAGAUGGGAUGAGAUUCUGCAUAGAUUUCAUUGAUAGAGCCUACAGGACUUUCUGAUGUGCCAUGUAUAGCUAUGAGCAGAAGUAGGGAGUGAAGGACCAUCUCAAGGUUUUGUUUGUUUUUGUUUUGUUUUUGCGGUUUUGGGGGGAAGCAACCACAAGGAGCAGGUUUCAGAAGAUAAUGAGUUAAAUUGUGGAUGUGUGACCCUAAGAUACCUCAAGGUGGAGACGGCACAUAGGAGCAUAUUUGGCAUAGGAGCUACUCUGGCCUGUGUCUGUAGAAAAGGAUACCUGGAUGUGAUGAAUUGCCGGCCUGGAUGGAGAUGAAGGUGUAAGGUCAUGUAGACUGAGCCCUGCUGGUCAGCUCUGCUCCUAGAGGAGAAUCCCUGUGGGACAAAGAAAUAGCCAGGUUCCCAUGGCAUUUACAGAAAUGUUUAUGGACCUGUAUGGGUGAAUGGAGGAUAUGCUAGACCCUCAUCCACCCCAGUUAUCACCCUGAUGGUUCUGCCACUCCCAUAUAAAGAAUGCUGGUGGCCUGAGAUCGUUCACCCAUCCUUCUCCCUUCCUUGGGUCUGAAGUCCCUGUGGUUUCACCAAGGCCUAGGGUCUUGAACUCAGUCCCAGAUUAUAUGGAGCUGUUCCCAUUUCCAACAACUGAUGGAGUGAGAUGUGGAAGAAUGUCGUGGGCACAGGAUCCAGAAUGUCCAGGCGACUGGAGAUUGUUGGCAUGGAGCCCAGGAUGAGGAGCCAUCUUCAGAGCGAGGUGUUUCUAUAGAAGUGUCACUGGCCAGGACGCAAAGCCAGGUCCCUCCAUCUGGAACGCCCAACCCUGUGAGACAUGCAGCUCACUCUUGAAAGACAUUUUGUCCCUGGCUGAGCAGGAUGGAACACACCCUGGGCAAGGACUAUACACUUGUGAGGCAAAGCUUUGCCAGCACCAAAAACGUCACAUUAGAGAAAAACUUUCCAGAAAGGACAAGGGGAGGCCUUCAUUUGUGAAAAACUGCACUGUCCACAUGACACAGAGGACCUUCACAUGCAGGGAAGGUGGGAAGGACUUCCCAGCCAGCACAGGCCCUCUCCAGCACCAGCCUCCUCAUGGUGUGGGAAAGCCACAUGGGCACAUUGCACAUGGAGAGGCCUUUCAAAAUGGGCAAAGUGAUUACAACUGCACUCAGUGUGGGAAAGCCUUCAGCCAUAAACAUACACCUGUUGACCAAGAGAAGAUCCACACUGGAGAAUAGCUUUAUGCGAAUAGGGAAUGUGGGAAGGCCUUUCUUAGAAAGUUCCACCACGAGAGCAUCAGAAAGUCCACACUGAGCCUGGGCUUUAUGAGCACUCAGAAUGUGGAGUAUUCUUUACAGAAAUAUCUGCCCUCAGUGACCACCAGAGAAUUCACACAAGGCCAAGGCCUUUUGAGUGCAGCCUUCCUUAGACUGUCCCACCUCAUUGGUCACCAGAAAAUCCACACUGAAGAAAGACCUUACGGUUGUAGUGAGUGUGAAAAAUUCUUUAGGAACUGUUCCACACUCAUUAGACACCAGAGAGUUCACACUGGAGAAAGGCCUUUUGAGUGCACUGAAUGCGGGAGAGCCUUCACCUGCAAACAUAGGCUUGUUGAGCACCAGAAAAUCCACAGUGGUGAAAAGACUUUUGAGUGUCGAGCAUGUGGGAAAUUCUUUAUGGACAGCUUCUCACUCAUUAUUCAUUAGAGAGUUCACACUGGACAAAGACCUUAUGAGUACGGCAAAUGUGGGAAAAAAUUUUUUUAAUUUAUUUAUUUUAAUUUAUUUAUUUUUGGCUGCGUUGGGUCUUCGUUGCUGCACGCGGGCUUUCUCUAGUUGCAGGGAGCAGGGGCUACGCUUCGUUGUGGUGCAUGGGCUUCUCAUUGUGGUGUCUUCUCAUUGCUGAGCACAGGCUCUAGGGCGCGCAGGCUUCAAUAGUUGUGGCGCACGGGCUCAGUAGUUGUGGCUCGUGGGCUCUAGAGCUCAGGCUCAGUAGUUGUGGCACACAGGCUUAGUUGCUCCACGGCAUGUGGGAUCUUCCUGGACCAGGGCUCGAACCCGUGUCCCCUGCAUUGGCAGGCGGAUUCUUAACCACUGCACCACCAGGAAAGCCCCAAAUGUGGAAAAUUCUUUGGGCACUGCUACACCCUUAUUAGACAUCAGAGAAAUCAUACUGGAGAAAGGCCUUAUGAGUGCAUCGAUGUAGGAAAUCCUUUUGUUGCAGCUCCACACUCAUGAGACAUUGGACAAAUCCCACUGGAGAAAGGCCUUAUUAGUGCAGCUAAUGUGGGAAAUUUUUGUAGUAAAACUCCAGAGUCAGUACACACUAGCGAGUUCACGUUAAUGUGAGGCCUUAUAAGAACAGUGAAUAAGGGAACAUCUUUACAUACAACUCUGGUCUUGUUAAACACUGUUGAAUUUACACUGGAGAAAUGCCUUCUGAGUGCAGUGAAUGUUGGAAAGUCUAUAGCCAAAACUUCCAUUCAUUUGGCUCCAAAAAGUUCACACCAGAGAAAGAACUUAUGAAGGAAGCAAAUGGGGAAAGGACUUCAGCCGAAAGUCUGCUCUGAUUGGCACUGUGAAGUACAUAUUAUGUACUUUUGGGUUUUUUUUUUUUCCUUCUUAUUGUGUUAAAAUACACACACAUAAAACUUGCCAUCUUUUAAGUAUUUUAGUGUGCCAUUCAGUACUGUGAGGUACAUUCACACUGUUGUGCAACCUAAUCUCCAGAGCUGCUCUUGUUUUGCAAAAAUGAAACCCUGUACCCAUUAAAUAACAACUCCUACUCCUCUCCUUCUCCAGCCCCUGGAAACCACUGUUCUCUCUCUCCUUGAAUUUGAGUGCCCUAGCUGCCUCAUGUAAGAAGAAUCAUACAGUUUUUGUAUUUUUGUGAAGACGUCAUUUACCAGAAUCUCACAUUUCAUGUAUCACGUGUCCUGUUUCAGAAGUCCAUUCCUUUUUAAGGCUGAGUUAUACUCCAUUGUAUGCAUAUACCACAUCUUUAUCCAUUCAUCUGGUGAUGAAGACUUCCCUUGUUUCCAUAUUUUAGCUGUUGUAAAGAGUGCAGCUGUGAGAACGACUGCACAAAUAUCUCCUUGAGAUCCUGUUUUCAGUUAUUUUCAGUGUAUAGCCAGAAGUGGAAUUCCUGGAUCAUAUGGUCAAUUUUUUUUUAAAUUUAUUUUUGGCUGCAUUGGGUCUUCAUUGCUGCAUGCGGCCUUUCUCUAGUCGCGGAGUGCGGGCUUCUCAUUGCAGUGGCUUCUCUUGUUGCGAAGCACCAGCUCUAGGUGUGCGGGCUUCAGUAGUUGUGGCUCGCGGGCUCUAGAGCACAGGCUCAGUAGUUGUGGCUCACGGGCUUAGUUGCUCUGUGGCAUGUGGGAUCUUCCUGGACCAGGGCUCAAACCCGUGUCGCCUGCAUUGGCAGGCAGAUUCUUAACCACUGUGCCACCAGGGAAGUCCCCAAUCUAUUUUUAAUAUUUUGAACUGUUUCCUUUAUUGGCUGUACCAUUUUGUGCUCCCAUCAAAGGUCCACAGAGUUCCAGUAUCUCCACAUCCUCAUCGACAUAAUUUUAUUUUCCGUUUCAUGUUUAAUAGUAGCUAUCCUAAUGGAUGUGAGGUAAUAUCUCACUGUAGUUUUAUUUUAUUCUAUUUUUUCUUUUUUAUGGCUGCAUCGGGUCUUAGUUGUGGCAUGCGGGCUCUUUGUUGUGGCGCACGGGCUUCUCUAGUUGUGGCAUGCAGAUUUUCUCUUCUCUAGUUGUGGCCCGUGGGCUUCUGUAUAGGUGUGGUGUGCAGGUUUUCUGUUCUUUAGUUGUGACGCGUGGGCUCCAGAGCGUGUGGGCUCUAUAGUUGUGGCAUGCAGGCUCCAGAGCGUGUGGGCUCUGUAGUUUGCAGCAUGCGGGCUCUCUAGUUGAGGAGCGCGAGCUCAGUAGUUGUGGUGCGUGGGCUUAGUUGCCCUGUGGCAUUUGGGAUCUUAGUUCCCCAACUAGGGAUCGAACCCACAUCCCCUGCAUUGCAAGGUGGAUUCUUUACCACUGGACCACCAGGGAAGUCCCCUCACUGUAGUUUUGUUUGGCAUUUCCCUAAUGAUUAAUGAUCAUGUCUUCUUGGCCAUUUGUGUAUAUUCUUUGUAAAAAUCUCUAUGUUUACCCCUUAAAAAUUUUUCUUAUUGGUGAGUUGUAGCAGUUCUUUAUGUAAUCUGGAUACUGACCACUUAUCAGAUAUAUGAUUUGCAAAUGCUUUUCUUCCAUUCAGUAGCUUGCCGUUUCAUUCUGUUGAUUGUGUCCUUUGCACAGAAGUUUGUACCUUUCUCUAUUUUUGCUUUUGUUUCCUAUACUUUUCAUGUCAAUGCCAAGAAGUUAUAAAUCCAGUGUCAUGAAGCUUUUCCCCUAUGUCUUCAUCUAAGAGUUUUUGAGUUUAUAUCGUUCUGUCAGGUCUUUGUUCAUUUUGAGCUCAUUUUUGGGUGUGGUGUAAGGUAAGGGUCCAACUUCAUUCAUUUGAAUGCAGAUAUCCACUGUAAUUUGUUGGAGAGACUGUCCUCCUCCCAUUGAAUUGCGUUGGCACUCUUGUUGAUUAUUUGAUCAAAUAUACUGGCUUCCAGUUCUGGGCACUCUGUUCUGUUUCAUUGGCCUCAAGUUUUGUGUUUAUGGCAGUACCAGUGUUUUGUUUUUGUUUUUUUAAAUUUUUAUUAGAAUAUAGUUGAUUUACAAUGUUGUGUUAGUUUCAGGUGUACAGAAAAGUGAAUCAGUUAUUCGUAUACAUAUAUCCACUCUCUUUUAAAUUCUUUUCCCAUAUAGACCAUUACAGAGUAUUAAGUAGAGUUCCCUGUGCUAGACAGUAGCUCCUUAUUAGUUAUCUUUCAGUUUUGAGUCCCUGGCUUGAUGUUAGUCGUUUCCUCUUUUGGAGCAGCAGCUGAUUAAGACCACAACCAAUCACUGUCUAUAUCAGGCACUCACACUCUGGACACCAUCCCUUAUGUCCCAGGGCCAGGAUACCAGGCAACUGGAGACAGCCUGUAUGCCCCUGACCCCAUGAAAUUAUUCCAGCUAGGUCAUCCAUGGGGAGCCUAGGAAACCUAGGUAGCCCCAGACCACUUGCUAUGUAUAGGGUGCUCCCUACAGCUCCAGGUUACUUAACUGUGUCCCUGUACAACCCAUUGUGUGCCCCGCCUGAUGCCCUUGUCUCAUCCUAAGCCCUAGGUAACAGAAUUCUGCUUUUUAUCUAUCCAAGUGCCAUCAAGAACAUUUAAAUCUUAAAAAACAACUACAAACCCAGAAGAGUGUUAGGAAUGCAGUGAAUGUUGAAAGUCAUUCAGCUAUUAGCCUAAACUCAAACAGCACUGGUAAAUUUAAAUUGGAGAAACAUCUUCGGAGUGCAGGCAACAUGCUGUUUCCUUGUUCUACGUAAUUACAGAGCGACAUUUUGGAGAUUAGUCUUUGUGAAAGAGAACUCAGCCAUAAAUUGAACUUCAUGCAUCCAGGCAUCCCAGGAAGAUUAUCUUAAGUACCAAGUAUAUUGGAAGCUUUCAUGAUACACCUUGCACUUCCAGACCUUCCUGGAGUCCUUGCCAGAAAUAAGUUGUUACCAGUAUCUGUUAGGUUAGCCUUCCCUCCUCUGCCACACGGCAGGGUGCCGCAGUGUGUAUGAAUCAUCUUUACAGUGCUCAGCAGGCAGGAAGCUAUGCUUCCUCCCUUCAUCUGGAGGACUCACCAGUCUCUUGACUUUUGGGGUAUCUCAUUCCCUUCCUACUGAUUGUUUGGGGUGGGAUAUUACCCAGUUCUGGACAAGAGGACUCCAGCUGCCUUCUGCAGGCAGCUUGUGGAGAUUUCCCUUCUUCCUGAGUAUAUUUGAUUGACUUGUAAUGGUUGGGUUGAUUUUUCCACCCUCAGAGUCACCCGACCCAGGACUAUCAGCAGAGCAUAGAAGGGUUUGAAUUCCGCUCUAUCCCCAGAAUCAAAGCUCUCAGACACCAGGGAACACUACCCUGCUCACCUGUCCCAUGACUCGAAGAUUCAACCCUUCUCUCAUGAACUCAGGAUACAUUUCUGCCAUAGCAGCAGAAUUGUUUCACUGCAUGCACCUGCUUUCACAUAUGUGUACCAUACUUAAUGACGAGCUCCUUCCCUGCUCAAGGGCAGGACCUAUAUCUCUGUCAUCCAUGUCAUCCCACUACUCAGAACACAGUGCUUGGUGGGUGGAGCAGCAAGGCCACAGCCAGCCCCUCUGAGUGACCACAGAUAUGAAGACAAGGCAGAGAAAACUGGGUGGUGAGAGAAUGAACCUUAGUGGGUCCUUCACCCACUGGGAUGCAUCUCAUACGUCUUGCAGUUUGGGGCCCAGGUCCCUUUAUGGGCCACGUUGUCCCAAGGAGCUCCCAGUUAUGGAGAGAAUAACCCUCUGCUUUGAACCAAGAAUUGUUUCCUGAGAGUGGAUUCUCCGACUCUCAUGGAUCCCAGGGCUCAGAUUCAUGUACAGCUACAGCUACAACCCAGAUGAUCAUCUUGAGAGGAGAUAUGAGGGUAGUGUCUUCAAAACGCAGCUUACUUUCCUACAGAAUACAGGAACCACACAAGCUAUUCCCCAAACAUAAAUCUAGCGGAAAAACUGAUGUUUUUUCUGAGAGCUGUGUGUGCAAUAACAAUAUUGGAUAAAACACCACAUAAAGGGUUCGUGUCCACCUUGGCAACACAAAAGUAUGUAUUUGAUUAUAUAAAAGGCUCCAAGGAGGGCUCAACUGGACAGUACUUUUUUUUUAAACCAAAGGUCAUAUUAUUUGAUGCAGCUUUGAAAUUAGCCCCAAAGACAGUCCCAAAGGAGGAAUUUCAACACAACCUGACUGAUAAGAGCAUCCUGAGAAUAAGACCACAGUAGUAACUGUGAAACCCAUACGUGGCUACCUGUAUGCAUCCUGGUUUGCCUGUUAAAGUUUCAGUCACUUUACAAUGCUUCACAGAAAAUUUUUUUCCCCUGCAAAAAAGCGCUCUUUUUUCCAUUUGGCCCAAGGCUUGGAGAGGGCUCCAGGGUGGUUAACAAGCUGCCCAGUGGCUUCAGGGAGAGGCUUCAGGGAGAAGCCCUGACCCCAGAGGGGCUCACAGGCCGCUGGGCUCCAGGGGCUCCUGGGGGUGCCUGAGGCUGAGCCUUUGGAAGAGACACUCGCCCAGCCCAGCCUGGGGGCCGAGCAGCCUGCGGAGGUUGGUCAGGCGGUCGCCCAUCUUCUUGAUGAGCUUCACCUGCUCCUCCAGGAAGUGGCUCCCAGAAGUCCAGAGGUGGAGUCUGCGCGGGCAGAACCCACGGCCUGCGGACCCACAGGGCCUGGUGCAGGUUCUUCUCCGUCAGCCGGGCGGCUUCCAUGGCGUCCUGGGCUUUACCCACGGCUCCUGGGACGGCUUCGGCACGUCCUGGAAGAGGGCGCGGCCACAGCGCUGCUUUUGCCUUUUCCACUGAGCUCGGGCCCUCCGGCUUCUCCUCGGCC